rnacentral:rRNA from 1 species
UACAGAGGUCCCAAGCGUUUGUUCGGAUUCACUGGGCGUAAAGGGUGCGUAGGUGGUCGGGUAAGUCUGAUGUGAAAUCUCCGGGCCUAACCCGGAAACUGCAUCGGAUACUAUUCGGCUAGAGGGUUGGAGGGGGGACUGGAAUACUUGGGUGUAGCAGUGAAAUGCGUAGAUAUCAAGUGGAACACCAGUGGCGAAGGCGAGUCCCUGGACAACUCCUGACACUGAGGCACGAAAGCUAGGGGGAGCAAACAGG